rnacentral:rRNA from 1 species
UACGUAGGGUGCGAGCGUUAAUCGGAAUUACUGGGCGUAAAGCGUGCGUAGGUGGUUCGUUGUGUCUGUGGUGAAAGCCCCGGGCUUAACCUGGGAAUGGCCAUGGAAACUGGCGAGCUGGAGUCUGGCAGAGGGGGGUGGAAUUCCGCGUGUAGCAGUGAAAUGCGUAGAGAUGCGGAGGAACACCGAUGGCGAAGGCAGCCCCCUGGGCUAAGACUGACGCUGAGGCACGAAAGCGUGGGGAG